rnacentral:rRNA from 1 species
GAUGAACGCUGGCGGCGUGCCUAAUACAUGCAAGUCGAGCGAACGGACGAGAAGCUUGCUUCUCUGAUGUUAGCGGCGGACGGGUGAGUAACACGUGGAUAACCUACCUAUAAGACUGGGAUAACUUCGGGAAACCGGAGCUAAUACCGGAUAAUAUUUUGAACCGCAUGGUUCAAAAGUGAAAGACGGUCUUGCUGUCACUUAUAGAUGGAUCCGCGCUGCAUUAGCUAGUUGGUAAGGUAACGGCUUACCAAGGCAACGAUGCACAGCCGACCUGAGAGGGUGAUCGGCCACACUGGAACUGAGACACGGUCCAGACUCCUACGGGAGGCAGCAGUAGGGAAUCUUCCGCAAUGGGCGAAAGCCUGACGGAGCAACGCCGCGUGAGUGAUGAAGGUCUUCGGAUCGUAAAACUCUGUUAUUAGGGAAGAACAUAUGUGUAAGUAACUGUGCACAUCUUGACGGUACCUAAUCAGAAAGCCACGGCUAACUACGUGCCAGCAGCCGCGGUAAUACGUAGGUGGCAAGCGUUAUCCGGAAUUAUUGGGCGUAAAGCGCGCGUAGGCGGUUUUUUAAGUCUGAUGUGAAAGCCCACGGCUCAACCGUGGAGGGUCAUUGGAAACUGGAAAACUUGAGUGCAGAAGAGGAAAGUGGAAUUCCAUGUGUAGCGGUGAAAUGCGCAGAGAUAUGGAGGAACACCAGUGGCGAAGGCGACUUUCUGGUCUGUAACUGACGCUGAUGUGCGAAAGCGUGGGGAUCAAACAGGAUUAGAUACCCUGGUAGUCCACGCCGUAAACGAUGAGUGCUAAGUGUUAGGGGGUUUCCGCCCCUUAGUGCUGCAGCUAACGCAUUAAGCACUCCGCCUGGGGAGUACGACCGCAAGGUUGAAACUCAAAGGAAUUGACGGGGACCCGCACAAGCGGUGGAGCAUGUGGUUUAAUUCGAAGCAACGCGAAGAACCUUACCAAAUCUUGACAUCCUUUGACAACUCUAGAGAUAGAGCCUUCCCCUUCGGGGGGCAAAGUGACAGGUGGUGCAUGGUUGUCGUCAGCUCGUGUCGUGAGAUGUUGGGUUAAGUCCCGCAACGAGCGCAACCCUUAAGCUUAGUUGCCAUCAUUAAGUUGGGCACUCUAAGUUGACUGCCGGUGACAAACCGGAGGAAGGUGGGGAUGACGUCAAAUCAUCAUGCCCCUUAUGAUUUGGGCUACACACGUGCUACAAUGGACAAUACAAAGGGCAGCGAAACCGCGAGGUCAAGCAAAUCCCAUAAAGUUGUUCUCAGUUCGGAUUGUAGUCUGCAACUCGACUACAUGAAGCUGGAAUCGCUAGUAAUCGUAGAUCAGCAUGCUACGGUGAAUACGUUCCCGGGUCU